CAUCCUUCCAUCCAUCCAAUCCCUCACCCGCCACCACCACUCUCUCCCUUGGGAUUCUCCCAGAUCCCCUCCUCAUCUCCUCCCACAGCAACCACCGAUCCACCUCGUCUUCAACACCGGGCCAACCAGCGCCCGAGCCCGAGCUCCACUCGAUCCCUCUCCUUCCCGAUGACAUGGACAUGCCGCCGUCGCCUGUAGCUUCCACGCCCGCCGACCACGACCAGCUCUGCCAGGCCGGCCUCGCCCCUUGCCUUCCCUCCUUCCUUUUCUUUCUCCCUCUCUCUUUUCUUACGUCUCUCCUUGUCAUGACAAGAGCAGCCAUGGCGCCCGAGCGCCUCGUGUUUGUCAGCCCGUCAGAUGGAUUCAGCUCACGCCCCUCUCUCUGGACCUGCAGGAAACAUGGAGCCCGAAGCCAUGGCCGCGCCUCCCAUUUUACUCGACCCCGGCGUUGCCAAGUUCCUUGUCGCAGGACGCCGAUGCCCUGCCUUAAGCCACUACCGCCGGUCACCGAGGCCACCCUGUCCUCGAUCUGGACCGCUCGAGUGACCAUGCUUGUUGAAGCUGUCGCUCCACGAGUCAUUGGACCUCGCUGGAUUUCGCUGCCAGGUCCAUGCCGCCCUUGCCUCCACUCCGUCAGCAUGCACCACCGGAGCCCCGAUUUUGUUACAGCCCCAAGCGCCUCACCUCUGCACCCGCCCUGAUGGCCUCCUCUACCCCGGGAUAUUCUCCCAUGGAUCCCUCCUUCUCCUCGCGUCAAGCACCAGCGCUCUAGGGCCGGCCUUCCAUUGUUCGUCCUCAUCGUCUCUCGCAACACCGGCGCUCCCGGCAGCCGCGCCGCUCGAUCCACCUCACCGACGACAGCACUAGCAGGUCCCGGCCAUGGAUGCCAGAGCACGAGCUCCCUCCUCCUCGUUGCACGCAUCACCCGUCGGAGUCGCCCCGGUCGCCGCCUCGCCAAGCUCCGUCGCCGCCGGUGACCUUCGCGUCGAGAUGCCGGAGUUCACGCCCCCCUGCACCUGCAUCGUGCCUCUUCCGUCCUCUGCAUUGAAGCAGUUGCAGAGGAGGAUGAGCACCUCGAACCCCCUUGUAUCGCUCGCGUUGACCGCGCCAGCGCGUGGGUCACGCCAGCGCGUGGGUCCGACCUGCUGCUUCCUCCUCCACCCACCGGGCCCGCCUCUGUGUCGGGGUUGUGUCUACCUCCUCAUUUGGUAGCUACGCGGCGACCUUUGGGGCACGAAUACCCAGAGUGUGCCGCCUAUUACUUCGAAUCUCUAGGUUUCGCGGAUCAUCAGCAAGGCAAGUAACACUUUGAUCAUACCUUUUCUACUACCCAGUUUUAUUGCAUUAGAUCAAUCCUCACACAUUGCAUGAUUAGGAUCUAAUUAAAUUGUGGGAUGGGAAGUAGUUGAGGUAGUACCUAUUACCUGUUUUAUUAUCAAACCUUUGGGAGUUACUUCUACGUUUACCAUUAUGCUAUGCUAUGCUAGUAGAUGUAUAUUGGGUGAGUGAUAUCCAUGACAGAUGUGAGUUUGAUAAUUAAUGGUUUAUCUAAGGUGGCAACUUAAAUACACAUCUGGGUGGAUUGAGGUACUUGGGUAUUCCAGGAUUGCCUGUUUUUCUUUAUGGACCGCCACCCAGGCUCAAAGGGAUCAUGAGAUUUUUUCAUACUAGAAACUUCCGUGUGCAGCCACAAGCUAUUAUG
rnacentral:rRNA from 1 species